AAUUAAACCUUAAUUUGCAUAAUAAUCCCAUACCACCUCCACCCCAAUUAAUUCCAGACCCAGCCUCACACACUUUCUCUACGGGGCACUCUUUUUAUCUCUCUCUAACCAUCACUUUUCGUUUUCUCUCUCUCUCUCUAGGCUCUACUACCACUCUACCCGUCCCCAACAAACCCUAGGGCAUAACAGAAUUAUUGUAGAAAGUAAAUGCACGCACCGACGGCAACCAUUGCACGCGGUAGAGCAAAACAAAGUCUGGGUAUCUUUUUGUUUAAUUUUAUAAGAAUACAUUAGACGUAAUCGUUGCUGCAUUCUACUGACAAUCUACUUUGAUACAGUCAAAUGUGCGUGAAGAAAAAAACAAAUUGCUAGAUUCACCUUGCGUUGUCUGCAGAGGAAGUGGGAGAGUUGAUUGCCAUGGAAGAGGUUGGUUUUUUUACUUCUCUAGGGGGGAGAAGCCAAGAAUUUUGUUCAGUGAAGGCAAAAUUUAAUCAAAGUUGAACUUUUUAGUUAUAAAUUUAAUGAUAUUAUGACAAUGCUAAAAAUGAUAUGGCGACAACACUAAUAAAAUAAUUAUCUUCUUCUUUAUUCUAGGAUAUGUAGAAAGUUGUGUAAUAUCAAAAUCCAUUUUAUUUGAUAUCUCUG
rnacentral:lncRNA from 1 species